GCCAGCGGAAGCGUCUCGCCAUUUGGUAACGGUGGGAUGAAGCGAGCAAAACCAGGACGAUAGUGAACUGUCUUCUUUGUUUCGAAAUGCGAGUUUUUACUGGUGCAAUCGUGUCGUCACAUCAAGUUCCUCGGAGGAACUAUUACUAGCAGCGGAGUUUGCUCUAAUUGCCAAGAACAAGUUAACAUCCAAAGCCUUCCUGAAACAAGCUUAUCCGAUGUUUAUUUUGUGAUAUAAACCUGGAAUAUUCAUUUUAUUCAUUUUCUACUGUUAACCCGUCGAGUUCGUAU
rnacentral:misc_RNA from 1 species